CACGGAAUUUGAAUCUGUAUUCUCUCUGGGAGGAGGAAAGGGAAACCUGCUCUCAGCGUUUAUCUGUGUAUCCCUCUCUGGGGAAGAAGGGAGGGGGGAGUGGUGAUUCAAGGAGUUGAAUCAGAUGAUCUCCU